CACAAGCGGCGGAGCAUGCGGAUUAAUUCGAUGCAACGCGAAGAACCUUACCAAGGCUUGACAUACACCGGUAACGCCCAGAGAUGGGUGCCCCUUUGUGGUCGGUGGACAGGUGGUGCAUGGUUGUCGUCAGCUCGUGUCGUGAGAUGUUGGGUUAAGUCCCGCAACGAGCGCAACCCUCGUCCUAUGUUGCCAGCGGGUCAUGCCGGGGACUCAUGGGAGACUGCCGGGGUCAACUCGGAGGAAGGUGGGGAUGACGUCAAAUCAUCAUGCCCCUUAUGUCUUGGGCUUCACGCAUGCUACAAUGGCCGGUACAAAGGGCUGCGAUACCGCGAGGUGGAGCGAAUCCCAGAAAGCCGGUCUCAGUUCGGAUUGGGGUCUGCAACUCGACCCCAUGAAGUCGGAGUCGCUAGUAAUCGCGGAUCAGCAUGUCGCGGUGAAUACGUUCCCGGGUCUU
rnacentral:rRNA from 1 species